ACGAGUGUUAUUCAUCUUUAUUUGGUUUAAAGGGUACCUAGACAGUUAAUCAAGCCUACAUCAGGGACUAAUUAAACUAGAGUUUUAUAGGAGAAGGAUAGAACGGAAGUGGAGAGAUGAAAUUCAUUGAUACUUCUUAGAUACUGACAACGGCGAAAGCAACCUUCUAUGUAAAAACCGACGUUGAGGGACGAAGGCUUCAUAUAAUCAAAAGGAUUAGGUACCCAAGUAUUCGAAGCAGUCAAUGAUGAGUGUCAUAAGUAAGUAAAAAAUAUUUGCAUAUAAAUGAAAGUGUAAGCACUCCACCUUAAGAGUAACAUGGCAACAUCGGAACUGAAAUCAUUAGACCGUUUCUGAAACCAGUAGUGAAGUAUGUUGUUUAAUUUGAUGACCCACAAAGAACCUUACCACAGUUUGAAUAGAUUUCUUAAUCAAGAAGUUUACAGGAGUUGCACGGCUGUCUUCAGUUGAUAUCGUGAGAUUUUGGUUAGUUCCAUUUAAUCAACGUAAACCCUUACUUUAUUUUUUUUUUACAUAGAGUAGUUCGCCGUUAUAUUGGCUAAGAUAACAGGGACUAAGACAAGUCACCAUGACCUAA
rnacentral:rRNA from 1 species